CAAGAGUCCGGUCCGGGGAUCACUAGGCUCUCCAGGCGAGGAAGAACGCAGCACAACGCGAUAGGCGGCAUGGGACGCAGACAUGGCGGUGUUCGAGGGGUGCAGC
rnacentral:rRNA from 1 species